rnacentral:rRNA from 1 species
AUGGCUCAGAUUGAACGCUGGCGGCAGGCCUAACACAUGCAAGUCGAGCGGAUGAGAGGAGCUUGCUCCUGGAUUCAGCGGCGGACGGGUGAGUAAUGCCUAGGAAUCUGCCUGAUAGUGGGGGACAACGUUUCGAAAGGAACGCUAAUACCGCAUACGUCCUACGGGAGAAAGCAGGGGACCUUCGGGCCUUGCGCUAUCAGAUGAGCCUAGGUCGGAUUAGCUAGUUGGUGAGGUAAUGGCUCACCAAGGCGACGAUCCGUAACUGGUCUGAGAGGAUGAUCAGUCACACUGGAACUGAGACACGGUCCAGACUCCUACGGGAGGCAGCAGUGGGGAAUAUUGGACAAUGGGCGAAAGCCUGAUCCAGCCAUGCCGCGUGUGUGAAGAAGGUCUUCGGAUUGUAAAGCACUUUAAGUUGGGAGGAAGGGCAGUAAAUUAAUACUCUGCAGUUUUGACGUU